GAUGAACGCUAGCUACAGGCUUAACACAUGCAAGUCGAGGGGAAACGAUAGAGAAAGCUUGCUCUUUCUAGGCGUCGACCGGCGCACGGGUGAGUAACGCGUAUCCAACCUGCCCAUCACUUGGGGAUAACCUUGCGAAAGUAAGACUAAUACCCAAUGACGUCUCUAGAAGACAUCUGAAGGAGAUUAAAGAUUUAUCGGUGAUGGAUGGGGAUGCGUCUGAUUAGCUUGUUGGCGGGGUAACGGCCCACCAAGGCGACGAUCAGUAGGGGUUCUGAGAGGAAGGUCCCCCACAUUGGAACUGAGACACGGUCCAAACUCCUACGGGAGGCAGCAGUGAGGAAUAUUGGUCAAUGGACGAGAGUCUGAACCAGCCAAGUAGCGUGCAGGAUGACGGCCCUAUGGGUUGUAAACUGCUUUAUAAGGGAAUAAAGUGAGUCUCGUGAGACUUUUUGCAUGUACCUUAUGAAUAAGGACCGGCUAAUUCCGUGCCAGCAGCCG
rnacentral:rRNA from 1 species